UAUGGGCAUAUCAAGUUGAAACACCGACUCCCGUAUGAUCAACAAAGUUAAGCAACGCCGAGUUAAACCAGUACCUAGAUGGGUGACAGCUUGGGAAUGCUAGAUGCUGUAA